rnacentral:rRNA from 1 species
CCUACGGGUGGCAGCAGUGGGGAAUAUUGCACAAUGGGGGAAACCCUGAUGCAGCCACGCCGCGUGAGUGAAGAAUUAUCUCGGUACUUAAAACUCUAUCAGCAGGGAAGAAAAUGACGGUACCUGACUAAGAACCCCCGGCUAACUACGUGACAGCAGCCGCGGUAAUACGUAGGGCGCAAGCGUUAUCCGGAUUUACUGGGUGUAAAGGGGGCGUAGACGGGAGCACAAGUCUGGAGUGAAAUCCCGGGGCUUAACCCCGGAACUGCUUUGGAAACUGUGCGGCUGGAGGGCAGGAGGGGUAGGCGGAAUGCCUAGUGUAGCGGUGAAAUGCGUAGAUAUUAGGAGGAACACCGGUGGCGAAGGCGGCUUACUGGAGUGCAACUGACGUUGAGGCUCGAAAGCGUGGGGAGCAAACAGGAUUAGAUACCCGUGUAGUC